rnacentral:misc_RNA from 1 species
UCUCCGUUGGCGAACCAGCGGAGGGAUCAUUACUGAGUUUACAACUCCCAACCCAUGUGAACGUACCUUUUGUUGCUUCGGCGGGAUGCCCCCGGCGCCUAGUGUGCCCGGGAAUCAGGCCCCCGCCGGAGGACCCAAACUCUUGUUUUUCUAUAGAACUUCUGAGUGGAUUAUUUUAAUAAUUAAAACUUUCAACAACGGAUCUCUUGGUUCUG